UCCCAUAGCAGGAUGUUUUUGGAUUCAGGUU
rnacentral:piRNA from 1 species